rnacentral:rRNA from 1 species
UACAGAGGGUGCGAGCGUUGUCCGGAAUCACUGGGCGUAAAGGGCGCGUAGGUGGCGCGGUGCGCGUGCCGUGAAAGCCCGGGGCUCAACCCCGGGUCGGCGGUGCGAACGGCCGUGCUCGAGCGUACGAGAGGCAGGCGGAAUUCCGGGUGUAGCGGUGGAAUGCGUAGAGAUCCGGAAGAACACCGGUGGCGAAGGCGGCAUCCUGGACCGACACUGACACUGAGGAGCGAAAGCCAGGGGAGCAAACGGG